rnacentral:rRNA from 1 species
AUUGAACGCUGGCGGCGUGCUUAACACAUGCAAGUCGAGCGGUAGCAGGCGUAGCAAUACGUGCUGACGAGCGGCGAACGGGUGAGUAAUGCUUCGGAAUCUUCCUCGUAGUGGGGAACAACCUGGGGAAACUCAGGCUAAUACCGCAUACGAACUACGGUUGAAAGCAGGGGAUCGCAAGACCUUGCGCUAUGAGAUGAGCCGAAGUCGGAUUAGCUAGUUGGUGAGGUAACGGCUCACCAAGGCGACGAUCCGUAGCUGGUCUGAGAGGACGAGCAGCCACACUGGGACUGAGACACGGCCCAGACUCCUACGGGAGGCAGCAGUGGGGAAUAUUGGACAAUGGGGGCAACCCUGAUCCAGCGACGCCGCGUGUGUGAAGAAGGCCUGCGGGUUGUAAAGCACUUUUAGUGGGGAUGAAAAGCCAAGGGCUAAUACCUUUUGGUCUUGACCUAACCCAAAGAAAAAGCACCGGCUAACUCUGUGCCAGCCGCCGCCGUAACAC